GACAGCAGUAGCCGCGGUAAUACGAAGGGUGCAAGCGUUACUCGGAAUUACUGGGCGUAAAGCGUGCGUAGGUGGUGGUUUAAGUCCGUUGUGAAAGCCCUGGGCUCAACCUGGGAAUUGCAGUGGAUACUGGGUCACUAGAGUGUGGUAGAGGAUAGUGGAAUUUCCGGUGUAGCAGUGAAAUGCGUAGAGAUCGGAAGGAACAUCUGUGGCGAAGGCGACUAUCUGGGCCAACACUGACACUGAGGCACGAAAGCGUGGGGAGCAAACAGGAUUAGAUACCCGUGUAGUCCCUGUCUCUUAUAC
rnacentral:rRNA from 1 species